rnacentral:rRNA from 1 species
GUUUGUUGGUGGGGUAAUGGCCUACCAAGGCUGCGAUCUAUAGCCGGGCUGAGAGGCUGACCGGCCACAUUGGGACUGAGACACGGCCCAGACUCGCGACGGGAGGCAGCAGCUAAGAAUCUUCCGCAAUAGUCGAUAGACUGACGGAGCGACGCCGCGUGAGUGAUGAAGGCCUUUUAGGUUGUAAAACUCUUUUAUAUUGGAAGAAUAUAUAGUAUUAGACUAUAUUGACUGUACUUUAUGAAUAAGGUCCGGCUAACUACGUGCCAGCAGCCGCGGUAAUACGUAGGGACCGAGCGUUGUUCGGAAUUAUUGGGCGUAAAGGGUAUGUAGGCGGUCUAUUAAGUUAGAUGUGAAAAAUCUGGGCUCAACCGAGAUCUUGCGUCUAAUACUGAUAGGCUAGAGUCUCUGAGAGGAAGGCGGAAUUCCUGGUGUAGGGGUGAAAUCUAUAGAUAUCAGGAAGAACACCGGUUGCGAAGGCGGCCUUCUGGCAGAGGACUGACGCUGAGGUACGAAAGUUAGGGUAGCAAACAGGAUUAGAGACCCUGGUAGUCCUAACCGUAAACGUUGUAUACUAGGUGGUUGAAGUAUUGAUCCUUUGACUGCCGCAGCAAACGCAUUAAGUAUACCGCCUGGGGAGUAUGCCGGCAACGGUGAAACUCAAAGGAAUUGACGGGGCCCCGCACAAGCAGUGGAGCAUGUUGCUUAAUUCGAUGAUACGCGAGUAACCUUACCAGGUCUUGACAUAUACCUGUCUGGCGUAGAAAUACAUCAUUGCUUCGGCACGGGUAUACAGGUGCUGCAUGGUUGUCGUCAGCUCGUGCCGUGAGGUGUUGGGUUAAGUCCCGCAACGAGCGCAACCCUUAUUCUUUGUUGCUAACAGGUUAAGCUGAGCACUCUAAGGAGACUGCCGGUGACAAACCGGAGGAAGGUGGGGACGACGUCAAAUCAUCACGGCCCUUAUGACCUGGGCUGCAAACGUGCUACAAUGGGUGGUACAAAGAGUUGCGAGACCGCGAGGUGGAGCUAAUCUCAAAAAACUAUCCUCAGUUCGGAUUGGAGUCUGAAACCCGACUCUAUGAAGUUGGAAUUGCUAGUAAUCGCACAUCAUCAUGGUGCGGUGAAUACGUUC